rnacentral:rRNA from 1 species
AAUCAACGCUGGCGGCGUGCCUCAGACGUGCAAGUCGAACGCGAAAGUCCCCUUCGGGGGAUGAGUAGAGUGGCGCACGGGUGAGUAACACGUAGGUAAUCUACCUUCGGGUGGGGAAUAACAACCGGAAGCGGUUGCUAAUACCGCAUAAUGCAGCGGCACCUAAUGGUGACAGUUGUUAAAGCGGGGGAUCGCAAGACCUCGCGCCUGAAAGAGGAGCCUGCGGCGGAUUAGCUAGUUGGCAGGGUAACGGCCUACCAAGGCGACGAUCCGUAGCCGGCCUGAGAGGGCGGUCGGCCACACUGACACUGACAUACGGGUCAGACUCCUACGGGAGGCAGCAGUCGGGAAUUUGGGCAAUGGGCGAAAGCCUGACCCAGCAACGCCGCGUGAAGGAUGAAAUCCCUCGGGAUGUAAACUUCGCAAGAACGGGAAGAAUAAGCCGGUGUUAACAUCAUCGGCGAUGACGGUACCGUUUGUAAGCUCCGGCUAACUCCGUGCCAGCAGCCGCGGU